AAAGAAGAAUUUGAUUGUUUUGUGUGAAUUUCCCUCAAAUUGUUGCAGGUAGCAUUGAAGAGUGUUACCGAGAUAAGGUGUUAGGAGUAAAAAUUCCUUCAGUUGAAGAACGACAAGAUUGGUGGGAUGCAUUUUACAGAGGAGUUGGGUUUCCUACACUAGCCAGGUUCUUGUUGCUUGAUGUUGCUCCCAAUUGGUUGGGAUGUUUCCCCAUUUCAGCACAGAAACAUGCUUAUGAUGUUUUCUUUAGUCAUGGACUUGUCAGUGAGGUGGUUCAGAUUUUAGUUCCUUUUCUGCAGCAGAAUGGGAGUGAUGGUCUUGAUGUUAGCGCUGUCAUCUCAAAUUCCGAAGGAUUGCUUGUACUGUGCUUGCUUGAAAAUAAUGGGAUGCUUCAGUUAGCAAGAGAGUUUGGGGAUCCUUCUAAAUCAAAAGGUUUUACUAAUGAACGGAUCAGACCUGCUGUGUCUAGAGUGGCACAGAUUGUUGCGUCUAUUCCUGACAAAGCUAGAAUGAACACCCUGACUUUGUUGUCAUCACAUGUAUUCUUCAAACAGAUUAUUGCACAGCUUCUUUCGCUAGCAGAAGAAAGAGACGCGACUUUGCUGGAAAAUG